rnacentral:rRNA from 1 species
GUCGAGAAUAAUUCACAAUGGGGGAAACCCUGAUGGUGCAACGCCGCGUGGAGGAUGAAGGUCUUCGGAUUGUAAACUCCUGUCAUUGGGGAGUAAGACCUGGCGGUGAAUAGCCGACAGGGUUGAUAGUACCCAAAGAGGAAGGGACGGCUAACUUCGUGCCAGCAGCCGCGGUAAUACGAAGGUCCCAAGCGUUGUUCGGAAUCACUGGGCGUAAAGGGAGCGUAGGCGGCGUGGUAAGUCAGAUGUGAAAUCCCGGGGAUCAACCCCGGAACUGCAUCGGAUACUGCCAUGCUUGAGGGUUGGAGAGGUAGCUGGAAUUCUCGGUGUAGCAGUGAAAUGCGUGGAUAUCGAGAGGAACACUCGUGGCGAAGGCGAGCUACUGGACAACAUCUGACGCUGAGGCUCGAAGGCUAGGGGAGCAAAAGGGAUUAGAUACCCGGGUAGUCC